AACUGUCUGCAAGGCUGCUUGUCACCUUCGAAUAUACUCCAUCAACAUGCUGCCACUUCAUCUUGUUUAGGCUCUUCGACUGCUUUAUAGAAGGACACUGAAGUCCACAUCUAUCUCCUUGAGACAGGCAAAGAAACAAAUCCUUUAUCCUGUCUCAAAAAGAGCUGACAAGCUUUUAGUAGUGUUUAUCUUCACUGAAGGGUGAUAACCUUGAAAAUGAAAGUGAAAAGAGACUGAUACAAUUAGAUAAAGAAACCAGGACUCAAAGAUGAAGUAACUUGUUCAAAGUCUGGCAGCUACUAAGUGACAGAGCUGAAAUUCAAGCCACCAACUACAAGGUUCAUAUUCUGUUCACUUCAUCAGGCUGUUUACUGUAGGCAAAAAUACUAUUUUACAGCCAUAAUUAAACAACUUUCUAGCAAACGGCAUUUCUAUCAUUCUAGCACCACUAGCAUUAUCGCCUCUUCUCCCAUUGACAUAUUUUUUUAAGGCACUAACCUGGAAUUUCUUCUUCCAGUACAGAUGGACUAAGGGGGCGCAAACCCCCAAGAAACAUGAAGAAGCCAGGUGCAGUGGCUCAUACUUGUAGUCCCAGCUGCUUGGGAGGCUGAGGCAGGAGGAUCUCUUGAGCCCAGUAGAUUGAAUCUGCAGUGAGCUGUGAACGCACCACUGUACUCCAGCCUGGGAGACAGAGCAAGACCCUAUCAAAAAAAAAAGGAAGAGACAUGAAGAAAACUACACUAAGGCACACAAUAAUCAAACUGCUCAAAAUCAGUGAUAAAGUGAAAAUCUUAAAUGCAACCAGAAGGAAAAAGACAUUAUAUACAGAGAAACAACGAUAAGGAUGACAUUAGAUUUAACUUCAGUAAUAAUGCAAUCCAGAAAACAGUGGAACAACAUUUUUAAAGUGCUGAAAGAAAAAAGCUAGAAUUCUACUCUCAGUAAAAAUGUCUUUAUAAGAAUUUUUUUCCUUUUUUUCUUUUUUCCUUGAGAUGAAGUCUCACUCUGUUGCCCAGGCUGUUCUUGAACUCCUGAGCUCAAACAACUCUCUGCCUUGGACUCCUAAAGUGCUGGGUGGGAUUACAGGCGUGAACCACCGUGCCUGGCCAGGACAUUUUUGGACAUACGAAGCUGAAAGAGUUCAUCACCAGCAAAUCCAUACUACAAAAAAUGUUAAAGAAAUUCUUCAGGCAGAAGAAAAAUACCCUAUAUGAAAAUUUUAAUCUGCACAAAUAAAUGAAGAGAACCAAAAAUGGUAAUACAUGGCAUGAUUGUUAAUUUUAUGUGCCAACUUAGUGGCCAUGAGGUGCCCAGAUUAAACAUUAUUCCUGGAUGUGUUUGUGAGGGUGUUUCUGAAUGAGAUUACAUUUGAAUCAGCGGACUCAGUAAAGUAGAUUGCCCUCCCAGUGUGGAUGGGCCUCAUCCAAUCUGUUAGGAGCCUAAAUGGAAUAAAGUGUGGCAGAAAGGAAAAUUCACCCCUUUUGCUUCCUGCCUGUCUGGUUGAACUGAGACAUCUCAUCCCAUCUUCCCUAGCACUCAGAUUGGGAUUUACAACACCAGGUCCCUUGGUUCUCAGGCCUUUGGACUUGGACUGAAUUACACCACUGCUUUCCGCGGUCUCCCAACUCGUGGAUGGCAGACUGUGGGACUUCUUAGCCUCCAUAAUCAUCGGAGCCAAUUUCUCAUAAUAAACAUAUUUACUAUACCCUACUGGCUCUGUUUCUUUGGAGAACUCUGACCAAUACACAUGAGUAAAUACAUAAAGUAUUUUUUCUUAUUUACAUCUAUUAAAAGAUAGUUGACUGUUUACCCAACAGUAGUAACAAUGUGUUUGGGGGUUUAUAAUAUAUGUAAAGGUGAAAUGCAUAAUACUAACAGCAUAAAUGCAGGCAAGGGAGAAAAGGAAGUCUACUGUUAUAAAUUUAUUGUACUAUACAUGAAGUCC
rnacentral:lncRNA from 1 species